AACGGACGCUGGCGGCAUGCCUAACACAUGCAAGUCGAACGAGACCUUCGGGUCUAGUGGCGCACGGGUGCGUAACGCGUGGGAACCUGCCUUUUGGUUCGGAAUGACUCAGAGAAAUUUGAGCUAAUACCGGAUAAUGUCUUCGGACCAAAGAUUUAUCGCCAUUAGAUGGGCCCGCGUAAGAUUAGCUAGUUGGUGGGGUAAAGGCCUACCAAGGCGACGAUCUUUAGCUGGUCUGAGAGGAUGAUCAGCCACACUGGGACUGAGACACGGCCCAGACUCCUACGGGAGGCAGCAGUGGGGAAUAUUGGACAAUGGGCGAAAGCCUGAUCCAGCAAUGCCGCGUGAGUGAUGAAGGCCUUAGGGUUGUAAAGCUCUUUUACCCGAGAUGAUAAUGACAGUAUCGGGAGAAUAAGCUCCGGCUAACUCCGUGCCAGCAGCCGCGGUAAU
rnacentral:rRNA from 1 species